rnacentral:lncRNA from 1 species
AUACUGAUAUUUUAAAUCAGUAACUCGCAAGUGAUCUCAAUCGAUAAGUUUUCGCUAUCGCUUUAAUGUGGGAACAUAUGUACAUUGUAUAUUCUAUAAUGAAAGUAAAGAACAUAAAAAAUCAAACUUCGUAUAUUUGUGGCAAUCGUUCGAAGAAAUGUUCAAUUUUAAGACUUUUGAUAUGCCCUUUGAAAUCACUUCCCUAGUGUUUAGAAAUGUGUAGUAUUUACACGAAUCAGGUGAAACAUAUCUCUUCUAAACCGAUGACUAAAACAUACAAAUAGCGUCCACCAGGAUGAUUACUAGCCGAGAGUACUAUUAAUGCGAGUUGUUUUGUUUAUUCCACUUUAAGAUUCCUGUAGUGGUAUAAAGUAAGUGCCGGCCCUUCUCCAUCUGUAAGUAAGUGUUACAAUUUUUGGCAUCGGGUGAGUAUGUAAGUAUGUACAUAAAUGCAUGUGCUUCACACUUGCGACUAUGUACAUAGGUGCACAUGUACAUAUAUUAACAAUAAGCUUUGAGUGGAAUAUUCACCUAAUAUAAUUUAUGUGUAUGCAUUGGUUUUUUCUUGAAUGUUCGACAUAUUCACAAAUUUGCUUUACACAUUUGCUUAAAGAAAUUAAGUAAAUAAAUAAAUUAUUAAUAA